GUGGAAGGCUGAGCGAGUGCUGUACACACGGCUCACACGUGUCCCGCUGCAGAAUCGGGGGGUGACGAUGGGGAGGGAGGAAGCGGCGAGGAGAUCUACGGUUGUCCCUAGGUGUGGAGAUCCCAAGGCGGAGCAAAAGAAGGGAAUGAGGUUAUCUCUGGCAGCUGUGAAAAGAUGACAGACACCCUGGUUAAAGGAGCGUGAAGGGAGUCAGAGCAAACGGAGGGUCUUCAGGGCUCCAUCCACGCUGGUGACUAGUUGUAUGAAGCAAGUUACACGGGGUUUCAGCGUCCCAAACAGUGCAUAGGCAAUCAGAAGAGGACUUGGGAUCCCCUGGAACUGGAGUUACAGAUGGUUGUGAACUACCAUGUGGGUGCUGGGAAUUUACUCCAUGGCCUCUGGAAGAGGCCUCUUAAUAGGUGAGCUUCAACCAAUAAGAGUUCAUGUGUCAAAAAACAAGAUGGAAGGCUCCCAAGGAAUGACAGGCACACGCCUUUACUCCCAGCACUCAGGAGGCAGAGGGCCAGCAAGAUUGCUUAGCAAGUAAAGGCACUGGCCACACAAGCCUGAUGAUCUGAGAUAGAUUCCACAGAACUCACAACCGUUACCUGUUCACCAUGAAGAGCGGUGUACCCUGGCAGGACAGAAACCUCCAUCUUCAGUGAAGAAACACCAUGACCACAGCAACUCUUAUAAAGGAAAACAUUUAAUUGAGAUGGUGGCUUACAGUUCAGAGGUUUAGUCCAUUAUCAUCAUGGUGGGAAGCAUGGCAGCGUGCAGGCAAACAUGGUGCUGGCUACAUCUUGAUCAGAAAGCAACAGGAAGUAGACUGGGUCAUUGAUAUUGGCUUGGACAUCUAUAAGACCUCAAAGCCCACCCCCAGAGUGACACACUUCCUCCAACAAGGCCACACCUCCUAAUAGUUCUACUCCCUAUGAGAUUAUGGGGGGCCAAUUGCAUUCAAGCUACCACAGCUUCCUUCUUCCUAGUCCUUUAUAUAGGCUGCCAGCAGAAGGUAUGGUCCAGAUUAAAAGUGGGUCUCCUCACCUCAAAGGACUCAAUCAAGAAAAAAAUCCCUCACAGAUGUGCCAGAUGCUUGGGUUUUAGUUAAUUCCAGAUGUAGUCAAGUUGAUAAUAACCAAAAAUGGCCAUCAUACCACCUCACCAACUCCUCCCAUUUGCUUUUAGGCUAAGACUUUUAGUAUCACCACCAAUGUCUAUCUCAAACACUCAUCAUCAGAAAAUCCUGUAGAGGUUAGCAAACGUGUAUACAGGAUACUUGUGGAACAUAUCCAGAAUCAUGGGGUUGUCACCAGUCCUCACCAAUGGCAUUGCCACUUACCCUCAUCAAACCACAGCUCUCAAAUCACUUAGCAUUUUCAAAUGAAACCUUCCCUUCCCUCAGACUUCUCUCUGUGGUCCUCAUUGUGGUUCAGUGUCCUAGAA
rnacentral:lncRNA from 1 species